rnacentral:rRNA from 1 species
GACGAACGCUGGCGGCGUGCUUAACACAUGCCAGUCGAACGGAAAGGCCCUGCUUUUGUGGGGUGCUCGAGUGGCGAACGGGUGAGUAACACGUGAGUAACCUGCCCUUGACUUUGGGAUAACUUCAGGAAACUGGGGCUAAUACCGGAUAGGAGCUCCUGCUGCAUGGUGGGGGUUGGAAAGUUCCGGCGGUUGGGGAUGGACUCGCGGCUUAUCAGCUUGUUGGUGGGGUAGUGGCUUACCAAGGCUUUGACGGGUAGCCGGCCUGAGAGGGUGACCGGCCACAUUGGGACUGAGAUACGGCCCAGACUCCUACGGGAGGCAGCAGUGGGGAAUAUUGCACAAUGGGCGGAAGCCUGAUGCAGCAACGCCGCGUGCGGGAUGACGGCCUUCGGGUUGUAAACCGCUUUCGCCUGUGACGAAGCGUGAGUGACGGUAAUGGGUAAAGAAGCACCGGCUAACUACGUG